rnacentral:rRNA from 1 species
AGAGUUUGAUCCUGGCUCAGGACGAACGCUGGCGGCGUGCUUAACACAUGCAAGUCGAGCGGAAAGGCCCUUCGGGGUACUCGAGCGGCGAACGGGUGAGUAACACGUGAGUAACCUGCCCCUGACUCUGGGAUAAGCCUGGGAAACCGGGUCUAAUACUGGAUACGACUCCUCAUCGCAUGGUGGGGGGUGGAAAGGGUUCACUGGUUUUGGAUGGGCUCACGGCCUAUCAGCUUGUUGGUGGGGUAAUGGCUCACCAAGGCGACGACGGGUAGCCGGCCUGAGAGGGUGACCGGCCACACUGGGACUGAGACACGGCCCAGACUCCUACGGGAGGCAGCAGUGGGGAAUAUUGCACAAUGGGCGAAAGCCUGAUGCAGCGACGCCGCGUGAGGGAUGACGGCCUUCGGGUUGUAAACCUCUUUCAGUAGGGAAGAAGCGCAAGUGACGGUACCUGCAGAAGAAGCGCCGGCUAACUACGUGCCAGCAGCCGCGGUAAUACGUAGGGCGCAAGCGUUGUCCGGAAUUAUUGGGCGUAAAGAGCUCGUAGGCGGUUUGUCGCGUCCGCUGUGAAAGCCCGGGGCUCAACCCCGGGUCGGCAGUGGGUACGGGCAGACUAGAGUGCAGUAGGGGAGACUGGAAUUCCUGGUGUAGCGGUGAAAUGCGCAGAUAUCAGGAGGAACACCGAUGGCGAAGGCAGGUCUCUGGGCUGUUACUGACGCUGAGGAGCGAAAGCAUGGGGAGCGAACAGGAUUAGAUACCCCGGUAGUCC